rnacentral:rRNA from 1 species
GUGGGGAAUAUUGGACAAUGGGCGCAAGCCUGAUCCAGCCAUGCCGCGUGAGUGAUGAAGGCCUUAGGGUUGUAAAGCUCUUUCAGUGGGGAAGAUAAUGACGGUACCAGCAGAAGAAGCCCCGGCUAACUCCGUGCCAGCAGCCGCGGUAAUACGGAGGGGGCUAGCGUUGUUCGGAAUUACUGGGCGUAAAGCGCACGUAGGCGGAUUGGAAAGUUGGGGGUGAAAUCCCGGGGCUCAACCCCGGAACUGCCUUCAAAACUCCCAGUCUUGAGGUCGAGAGAGGUGAGUGGAAUUCCGAGUGUAGAGGUGAAAUUCGUAGAUAUUCGGAGGAACACCAGUGGCGAAGGCGGCUCACUGGCUCGAUACUGACGCUGAGGUGCGAAAGCGUGGGGAGCAAACAGGAUUAGAAACUCCAGUAGUCC